rnacentral:rRNA from 1 species
CCUGGCUUAGGAUGAACGCUAGCGACAGGCCUAACACAUGCAAGUCAGGGGCAGCACAAGGAGCAAUCUGAGGUGGCGACCGGCGGCACGGGUGAGUAACACGUAUGCAACCUGCCUGUAAGCGGGGAAUAACCCGUUGAAAGACGGACUAAUACCGCAUAAUACUAAAUUACUGCAUGGUAAUUUAUUUAAACAUUUAUGGCUUACAGAUGGGCAUGCGCAUGAUUAGCUAGUUGGAGAGGUAACGGCUCCCCAAGGCAACGAUCAUUAGGGGUUCUGAGAGGAAGGUCCCCCACACUGGUACUGAGACACGGACCAGACUCCUACGGGAGGCAGCAGUGAGGAAUAUUGGUCAAUGGACGAGAGUCUGAACCAGCCAAGUCGCGUGCAGGAAGAAUGUCCCUAUGGAUUGUAAACUGCUUUUGCAGGGGAAUAAAGUGCAUCACGUGUGAUGUUUUGUAUGUACUCUGCGAAUAAGGAUCGGCUAACUCCGUGCCAGCAGCCGC